CGCAUCUGUGCAUGCAGCAUAUCAAUAAGCGGAGGAAAAGGUACCUACGCUUAGGAUGUUGACGAGACUGUCGAUCUCAUCUAUACAUGACUCUGUGCAUAUCAAUAAGCGGAGGAAAAGAAACUAACAAGGAUUCCCCUAGUAACGGCGAGUGAAGCGGGAAGAGCUCAAAUUUGAAAUCUUAAAGGGUUUCCCUUUACGAAUUGUAGUUUAAAGAAGUGUUUUCUGUUGAGGUUUUGGUAAAAGUUCUUUGGAAUAGGACAUCAUAGAGGGUGAGAAUCCCGUAUUUGACCUUUACUUUCAACUUUGUGAUACACUUUCAAAGAGUCGGAUUGUUUGGGAAUGCAGUCCAAAAUGGGUGGUAAAUUUCAUCUAAAGCUAAAUAUUGGCGAGAGACCGAUAGCGAACAAGUACCGUGAGGGAAAGAUGAAAAGAACUUUGAAAAGAGAGUUAAACAGUACGUGAAAUUGUCAAAAGGGAAGUGUUUGACACCAGUGUUGUUUUUCUGAAAAUCAAUUAAAGAACUGUUUAUGCUAAGCUGUUUAGACUUUAUCAGCUAACUGUUUAGUUUUGAGCUUUUCUUUAAUGCACUUUUCAGUUAACAAGUCAACAUCAAUUUCUUUUGCUGUAAAAAAGCUUGAGGAAGGUGGCUUGAGAUUCGUCUUAAGUGUUUAUAGCCUCUUGCCUAUGCAGUCGGAGAGAUUGAGGUCUGCAGCGUAGAUCCUUCGGGGCUAAAUGCAUUUGUGCUAAGUUAUAGCAUUUUAUAGACAACUUGUUGACUAUGAUUUGUCUUGUAGCUUACUCGCUUAUGUUAUUUUACCUACGCUUAGGAUGUUGAGUCAUCACACAUCUCU
rnacentral:rRNA from 1 species